rnacentral:tRNA from 1 species
GGGCCGUUAGCUCAAUCGGCAGAGCGCCUCAUUUGCAAUGAGGAGGUAGCGAGUUCGAAUCUCGCACGGUCCA